rnacentral:lncRNA from 1 species
AAAUCUAUGGGUUAGUACAAUGUAAUUCAUUGUAAUUCCCUCUUUUCCUAGAUGUCGGAGCUAAUUUUGUUAGCAUGCAACCAAAGAACCACCUGAAGAGCUAAUAAGAAAAAUGAUUCACGAGUAAGUCCAAGUUCAAGUUGAAAAUCACAGAGUGAACUGCAGGAAACAGCCACAACCAAAUCUUGAGUUCAUCUACCAGCCUUUGCCUGAGUCAGAUACUAUUCCAAUGUUUAAAUUUUUACUCGUGCAUACUUAAGA